GCUACAACGGUCAUGUACGGACCGUAAAGGUGCCUAGAAGUGGUGAAUGGAGAACGAGAGAAAGCUGUUGCUCAAUGUGGAAAUUCGAAGCGUCUUUGUCCCAUUCGCGGGAGCGAAUCGAUUUCCCUGCCCAAUCAAAGUUUUCUCGCCCUAGGCUUCUCAAUUUCUCCUCCAAUUACCGAUCUACUUCUCAAUACUUUCGCGCCAGUUUCCGAGUCUCUGGCCCGAGCUGAGCAGAUCAUGUGCGGAUGGAAAACCCUAGCUGAUCGUCCAAUCGAGCAUGUCGAAAUCGCUUCCUUAUUCAAUGCGAGAUGUAAGCUAUGAUAACGCCAAGUUCCGCCAGCGAUACUUAUUUGAGGGUGAAUUGCUGCAGCUUCUUAAUGUGCACUGGUUUUCUGUGCCUUUCAAGGCGGAUUGAAUGUUUAUUCGUUGUUACUGGUGUUCUUUUCGAAUUCUCCGUUUCUUAUAUCAGUGAAGCUGUGCAUCCAAAGUCCAUAGCAUAGAGUUGCCUGCUGAAAGAAUCACAAAGUUGCAAGGGUUAUACUUGGAUAAAGCAUUAUGAAUUGAAGAUACUUCAAAUCCAAUGAUUGGCUGAUCCCCUGUUUAAAGGUAAACUGUUAAGUGCCUUUCUGAGAUCAAAAGAACUUACCGGCGAUUUUAAGCAGCUCUUCUAAUGAAUCAGGUGAAAAUCAUAGCAGAAUAGCAAAAGAUAUUAAUGAAAGAGAGACGUACAAAAUUUCUGGUCCGGCUCGUCCAGUGAACUACAAGGUUAGUCAUGUUGCCAAUGAGAUAUGAGCUUUGUGCAGCGUAACCAAAAAUAGUUAAAUCUGAUGUCCUUCUCAAGUCUGAAGAAGUAAAGGAAAGCAGCUAGUGAGUAAGGUGAUUCUUCCAUCAAAAGAAAUAAUUUUGAUGAAAACUGAAG